CCUACGGGUGGCUGCAGUGAGGAAUAUUGGUCAAUGGGCGGGAGCCUGAACCAGCCAAGUCGCGUGAAGGAAGAAGGUACUUAGUAUUGUAAACUUCUUUUGUCGGGGAACAAAGGCGGAGACGCGUCUCCGGAUGAGUGUACCCGAAGAAAAAGCAUCGGCUAACCCCGUGCCAGCAGCCGCGGUAAUACGGGGGAUGCGAGCGUUAUCGGGAUUUAUUGGGUUAAAAGGGUGCGCAGGCGGGAGAUCAAGUCAGCGGGAAAAUGUCGGGGCUCAACCCCGGCCGGCCGUUGAAACUGGGUUUCUAGAGUGGGAGAGAGGUAUGCGGAAUUCGUGGUGUAGCAGUGAAAUGCAUAGAUAUCACGAAGAACUCCGGUUGCGAAGGCGGCAUACCGGCUCCAUACUGACGCUGAGGCACGAAAGCGUGGGGAUCGAACAGGAUUAGAUACCCGUGUAGUC
rnacentral:rRNA from 1 species